ACGCUCGACACCUACAGGAGGCAGCAGUGGGGAAUAUUGCACAAUGGGGAAACCCUGAUGCAGCGACGCCGCGUGGAGGAAGAAGGUCUUCGGAUUGUAAACUCCUGUUGUUGGGGAAAAAGAGGAUGGUACCCAACAAGGAAGUGACGGCUAACUACGUGCCAGCAGCCGCGGUAAUCUGAGCGGGCUGGCAAGGC
rnacentral:rRNA from 1 species